rnacentral:misc_RNA from 1 species
UUUUUUUUUUUUAAUUUUUCUUUAUCACUAUCUUUGUGACAUUUUUUUGUCAACUUCUGGCAUAUUAGUCUUAUGAAUUACAGCUAUACCAAUUUCAAGAACUUUUCUGUUUCCCUUCUAGAAUGAAUAUACACUUAGAUUGUCCACAGUGCUUUACAAUGGUUUAAGCUUCUAUGGUUUCAUUUCUGUCUGUGCUAAACCAAAGCUGACAAAGCAACAACAGAAAAUAUUUUAUUGCAGAAUUUCAAUGUACAUUUGAAUUUGUGCUUUAUAUGAUUCAAAUUUUGCAUUUGAAUUUUUG